rnacentral:lncRNA from 1 species
GGUGGCUAUCACAAGGAACUAAAUACACAGAGGCUGGUGCUAGACCCAAUGUAUGGAUAACUGGCUCUUUUCACUCUACUUUUGGCUAGUGAACACAGCUGUCAACUGAUACUUCAUUCGAGACCUGAUAGACCUGAUGUUUGAUUGUCUUGGCCACGUUGAUAAUGUCAAUUCAUUCAUUACUGGGAAACAGGAAGAUAAACUUUUUACUUUCCCUUUCAUAAAUUUGAAAUUUUUUGUUAUCAUUGAUUUCUGCAGAUACAGAGAAAGAAAAGACUUCUUUGAACUCUUUGAAUAAGAACAGAAUUCCCUUCUACCCUGUUUCUGACUUAAUACUCCAAUAAAAGCUAACCUUUUAACAACAGCAGCUGAUAUUUACAUAAGAUUCACCAUGUGUAAGUUCUAGAACCAGUUAGUUCACAUGUACUAUCUUAGUUAAUACACACUGUUAAGAUUAUGAACUAGAUAAAAUAAUAUUUUUCUGCAUUUUUAGAGAUGAAAAAAUAUAUUCUACAGGGUCAGAGUUAGCCCGUAUGUUUUCAAUAAUUUUUUACACAUUUGCUUUUUUUUACUUGAUGAUAUAUUGCAAACAAUUACCUGUGUCUUCACAAUUUUUUCAAAAACAUAUAUUGGAUCGAUUGAAUAUCCCAUGAUAUUCCAUCAGUUAGAUGUCUCAAAAUUCAAUCAACAAUUCCUCUAUGAUUUAAUGUUUUAUCUGUUGAAAGUUUUGCUAAUACAAGUAAGGCUGGCAUGAAUGUUUUAUAAAAUAUUUUUGUCUGUAUUUUUCAUAUUUAUAAAAACAUUUCUUAAAGCAAAAUUAUAAAUCAAAAUUUAUGAUCAUUUUUGAGACCCUUGACUGAUUUCCAGACCGCGUAUCCCCAGUCACAGUCCCUCCAACAGUGUUAGAGAUGAUCUCAUCACACUAUAGUGAAUAUGAAUAUUCAAUCAUUAAGAAAGAAAAAGAGUAAGAGAAAUAAAA